UCUGCCCUUAGAAGUGUUGCAGGUGUGGCUGCCAUGUCACCUAUGUGUCCUUAGGUGGCAGACAGGAAGGAUGCUAUGUCUGUGCUUAGUUUUUUGGCCUCAGAAUAUUUAAUUGAUUAGCUGCCUAAAAUU